UAAGACGUAGGGGGCGAGCGUUGUCCGGAUUUAUUGGGCGUAAAGAGCGCGUAGGCGGCCCGUUAAGUCGGAUGUGAAAACCCGUGGCUCAACCACGGGCCUGCAUCCGAUACUGGCGGGCUCGAGGCAGGCAGGGGAGAUCGGAAUUCCUGGUGUAGCGGUGAAAUGCGCAGAUAUCAGGAGGAACACCGGUGGCGAAGGCGGAUCUCUGGGCCUGUCCUGACGCUCAGGCGCGAAAGCUAGGGGAGCAAACAGGAUUAGAUACCCUGGUAGUCCUAGCCGUAAACGUUGGGUGCUAGGUGUGGGGCGGCGAUUGACCCGCUCUGUGCCGAAGCUAACGCAUUAAGCACCCCGCCUGGGGAGUACGGCCGCAAGGUUA
rnacentral:rRNA from 1 species